AGAAGUCCAGGGCUAGGAGCCUCAGCCGGCGGACGCCAGGAAACAGUUACUGAUGCUACAAUAUUCCUUUAUGAAGCCAAGAACUGAACCAAAAUACAAACAACAUAAACUACCACUUGAUGAGAAGAACUUCAAAGUCAAAUUGCAAAAGGUGACUAAAAAAGGAGAGUACUUUCAGCCGUUUUCAAAAUAAUCUAUGAUAUGUACUGGAAAACUUCUAAUAAUCCUUGUCAUUUUACAACUUUCCCACAGUUAGAUCAUCAGCAAAUGUCACUUGGAUCCCUAGCUAAAUUGUUCUUCCCAGAAAAUAGUUAUCUCCACUAUGGAAAGUAUUUUAUCAGAAGAAUUCGUAGAAGUAGAAUCUGUUUGUCUUCAGUUAAACAAAAGAAGAACCUCAUUGCUUUCCAACUGGGCCCCGGCCAUUUUCCAGUUGAAACAUCAAAUAUUUUAUUUGUGUCUUUCACUGCCAAUUAAAGGGCAACAGAAAUGGUACAGAAAUAUCUGAAUGAAACGCUCAUGAAAGGAUUAAGAAAGUCUGCAGUUGAGCCUGGAGCCAGCAAAAGACAUCAUCACUAAAAGUAUAUGCAUGACCCGCAUUUGUUGCCUUUAUGGUCCUUACCCAAGAUAUUUGAAUUCACCAGAAUGGUCUUAAUAUGGUAUUGUAAGUACCUGGAUCUGAAAACCAUUAAGUAUGAGAGUGCGCUGUAUUGGUGAUGCCAGUUUGUGGACUCCUUAUGUAAAUAAAUGAAGGACAAGUUAAAAACUGCAGUCACUCAUGUGAAAUAUAAAAGGCUGGCAGAAUACGGCUAAAUGUCGAGGUCUAGCCCAAUGUGUGAGAUUUAGAGAAAUCAUGUAUUCCAAUAAAAUCAGAUAUACUCCUGAAA
rnacentral:sRNA from 1 species